ensembl:lncRNA
AUGAUGUUUCUAUGCAGUGUCUGGUGCAUUCUUCUCUUUUCAGGUGAUGCGGGUGGAGAAGGAAUAGCUCCCCUCUCCUCAUCUAAACUUGCUAACAAUGGUGACUCCAUUACUUUGACCUGCAAUUACAAUGGGUCUUACAGCAGUGAUUCUCUCCUGUGGUAUCGGCAAUACAGCAGCUCCAAACCUCAGUUUUUGUUUCUGGUCAGUGAAUCCAAACUUGAGCAGCCAGCUGACCCUCCAAUACCUGGAGUGUCUGCUAAAGUAAAUGAUGAGAAAAACAGUGUGGAUCUGAAGAUCUCCUCUGCUUCAGUAUCAGACUCUGCAAUGUACUACUGUGCCCUGCAGCCCACAGUGACAGGAAACACAUCAACACUGUACAAAAUUAAGGGGAAAACAACUAACUACACUGAUGAACUACACUAAACAACAAAUGAAACCUUUAUACUGUAUGACAGUGUCUUUAUUGUAUGAUGCUCUAAAAAUAGAUUUGCACAAUGCUGCAGAAACAAAAUGGACAUAACCAGAAAGCUUAGCAGAAGGUCAAGCAGUUUUAAAUUGUGUAUCAGGUAAAAUCAAAUGAGCAUUUCUAUAAUACAAGGUUUUCUCUAUCACGUAUUUCUUGAGAUUAGACUGCUACUUGUAAAUCUAGUGGUAAAAGCUAUGAAAGAAAAACAUGUUGAUAAAUAUCUACUAAAGAGACAGACCCUGGUCUCAGAAAUACAGUCAUCUUGAUUUUGUCAUCCAAUACAUCAACCAUUAUGUUUAUCUUCAAACUUAUUAGUUCAUGGAUUCAUCUGGGUGAGAUUAACUCAUGCAAACAUAUUUUUAUUCAUUUAAAUUAAUAUAAAUCAUUUUGAAUUGAACUGGAAUAAUAUUAAAUGUCAUUUUAUUUCAUUACUCGUCCCUAACCAAGCUAUUUAUUUGUUAGAUGCUCAGAGGCAAAUGCAAGCUUCCCACUAUUGCCAUUUAUGAGCACUGUUGUAGGUAAAAAUGUAACCAUAUUCUGUAGUUACAAAAAAUUCAUUGGAAGAGUGGUGAAUGCACAGUGGUACAGAAAGUACGCUGGAUCUUCAUUCUGGAGUUCUUUAUCACAAUCUAUCAACAUGGUCUUUGGCAGCGGCAAAACCAUCUGUUAUCUCACACCUUUCAGGCAAAGCUGCCACAGUACAACUGGGCCAGUGCGCUCACCACACACCAGCUACAGGUGGGGAGGACAGAGAGUCAUAGAGCCAAUCAAGUGGAUGGGGAUUAUUAGGAGGCCAUGAUUAAGAAGGGCCAGUGGCAGCAAUUUGGCCAGGACACCGGGGUUACACCCCUACUCUUUACGAGAAGUGCCACAGGAUUUUUAAUGACCAGAGAGAGUCAGGACCUCAGUUUAAGGUCUCAUCCGAAACAUGGUGCUUUUUGACAGUAUAGUGUCCCC